rnacentral:rRNA from 1 species
UACGUAGGGUGCAAGCGUUGUCCGGAAUUAUUGGGCGUAAAGAGCUCGUAGGCGGUUUGUCGCGUCUGCUGUGAAAACUCGGGGCUUAACCCCGGGCCUGCAGUGGGUACGGGCAGACUAGAGUGCGGUAGGGGAGACUGGAAUUCCUGGUGUAGCGGUGAAAUGCGCAGAUAUCGGGAGGAACACCCGUAGCGAAGGCGGCUCUCUGGGCCGGUACUGACGCUGAGGAGCGAAAGCGUGGGGAGCAAACAGG